UACAAAUCUGGCUGUCGAGAUGCCUAAAAAGCAUUUCAUAGCAAGGGCCGGGCAAGACCGGUGCCAGCCGCCGCGGUAACACCGGCGGCUCGAGUGGUAACCGUUAUUAUUGGGUCUAAAGGGUCUGUAGCCGGCCGGAUAAGUCUCUUGAGAAAUCUGGCAGCUUAACUGUCAGGCUUUCAGGAGAUACUGUCUGGCUCGAGGCCGGGAGAGGUGAGAGGUACUUCAGGGGUAGGGGUGAAAUCUUGUAAUCCUUGAAGGACCACCAGUGGCGAAGGCGUCUCACCAGAACGGACCUGACGGCAAGGGACGAAAGCUAGGGGCACGAACCGGAUUAGAUACCCGGGUAGUCCUAGCCGUAAACGAUACUCGCUAGGUGUCGGCCACGGUGCGACCGUUGUUGGUGCCGUAGGGAAGCCG
rnacentral:rRNA from 1 species